AUAGCAGUGAUGAGGCAAAACACAUGAGGAUGUGUUUAGGGAAGUGGACAAUACAAUGGAAGUUGUGUUGCCGUGAUCCCCAAUUUAAACGACUUCUCCUUCCACUGAGCUUU
rfam:Helianthus annuus linkage group 17, whole genome shotgun sequence.